rnacentral:tRNA from 1 species
GCCCCCGUAGCCCAACCGGCAGAGGCAGGCGGCUUAAACCCGCCCGAGUGUGGGUUCGAGUCCCACCGGGGGCACGA